UACGUAGGGUGCGAGCGUUGUCCGGAAUUAUUGGGCGUAAAGAGCUCGUAGGCGGUUUGUCGCGUCGGCCGUGAAAACUUGGGGCUUAACCCCAAGCCUGCGGUCGAUACGGGCAGACUUGAGUUCGGCAGGGGAGACUGGAAUUCCUGGUGUAGCGGUGAAAUGCGCAGAUAUCAGGAGGAACACCGGUGGCGAGGGCGGGUCUCUGGGCCGAUACUGACGCUGAGGAGCGAAAGCGUGGGGAGCGAACAGG
rnacentral:rRNA from 1 species